CCCAUCAUCAGACGUGCAUUGUCGAAAUAAACCACUGUGGAAUAAAUUUACCUUUAUUUCAGCAGUGCUGAAAUAUAGCUGUCACGCGCGGCGAAGAAUGUUCAUAUUACUCGGAAUCAACUAUAAAGUAAUCAUUUUUAGUAAAAUCGAAUCAGAUUCAACAAAACAAACAAUUUGAUACCAAGAUGUAAUAUAGUUUUUACACAUAAUGCAACUCAAAAAGCAAAUAAACAUUAUUUACAAAUAUUAAGUGCGCGUACUCGUGACGUCAUUAUUAAUACGUCAUACGACACAAUGCAUGUUGUUUCACGCUAAAGAUGCAGUUGUUUAGUGUCUUUUUUUCUUCAUUGUUUCUUAAAAAUCGGGGACGUAGAGGUAUGAUAAACGAAAAACAGUUUUGGAGUAGUAAAUUUCUGAAUGGAAAACGGGGGUCCCGGUGGCUGUGCAAACGGCCGAGGAGGACGCGGAGUCGGUGGUGAUGCCGGAGGUGGGUUUAUUUUUGGCGGAAAUGGAGGUCAAGGAGGAAAUGGGCGAGAUGACGCUUUGAACAAGGAUGGGAACAUCGACAUCAGCAUAGCCAAUAGACAGGUGGAACCCGAAAGCGACAGCGAUGAAGAACCUAUUCAACGAUGCACCAGGUGUGGAAAUCGCCCAAUACAAGAAGAAGGCAACCGAUCUCAAAACGCCGGGCGUUAAGAAUGUUAGACCCCAACAAGAGAAGAGUAUGAACAUCGGGUGCAUGUCAACACUUCAAACAAAAAACUUGAUUUUGAUUAUUUUACUAUGACAGUGUCAUUUAGUGUGUAUAUUUCUUUUUAAGGACUCAACCAUAUGGCAUACAAAACAUAUACAUGUACAUUAAUUUAAAAUCUUCGCACAAUUUUUAUCAUUGGUUCUGAUACAUAUCAAUGAGUGAAUGUGAUUCUUUGUUCCAAUCGUUUGACAUGACUUGAUUGACUUAACUAUUGUACGAUGCCAUGUGGUAUCGUGUCCAUCUUUUGUUAUAUUUUACAGAUACAUGGAAUAUGUGUUAUGAUUGUGUGAUUUCCUUGACAAAAAUGUCUUUUAAUAUUGUACGUUUCCAUGCCGUACUGUGCCAAGCAAUAUUGUAUAAACCGUAUUACUAUCAUAGGGUCUGAAUAUAUGUUCGAUUACAAAAUAUCUCUUUCAAUCAAUAUGUAACAUUGUCUAACCAGUAUAUGUGUUUUAGUUCUAUAAACCGGCAUACUUGUAUCUGUAUAUUAAUUGCCAAUAACGGAUUGUUUCUCUAUAACAUCGAUAGCCCUAUGUUCUAAUUCGAAAAUGUUUAUUUCAUCGCUUGCAAAUCACCUCUUUUAUAGACAAUUUAACAUUACAAAGAAUCCAAAGAUCGGUUUGCAGGUAUGUCUGUUUGAGCUGCUAUUUCUCAAAUCGUUCCAGGAUUAUAUUUCUGUAUUUUAAAAAAAUGCUGAGACAUUUAUUGCGGAAGGAUAAUUUAUUAGUCAAUUAAAAAAAAACAAUGACGUUCGCAAAACCAUGAAAUAUUCCGACACAAACGCGACCAGACGAUCUGCAUCUUUAAAAAAAACAUUUAAGAAAAUGUCUUCAAACAUGUAUAGUAAUAUAUAAAGUAAUGCGAUUGGUCUGUUUUGCUUAGGAGAAUAAUGUAUAGUUGUUUUCUUGUUAUAGAGCAUUAACACAGUGUGUAAUAUUUACUUGGUUUUACCAAGAAAUGUUGCGAAUAGACGUUAUUCUAGUUGGGAGAGUGAUGCAUAGUUGUUUUAUUGUUGUAAGCAAAAAGUCAUUUAUUAUUUUGUGCUGAUUUUAUCCAAGAAUGUCCCAUAUACAAGUUGUUUUACAAUAUGCGUUUGCCGCACCGCGACUGGAAAAAUAUAUCGAAGGUGUAACAUGUCAAAUGUGUUGACGGUUGCAAUACGUAAAUCUCUUAAUAUUUAUUGGUUUAUGCGUAUUUCUUCUUUUGUGCUGUUUUUCUAUUGUGUUUGUUUUAUGUCAAACUUUUUGUAAUUAGUUACUUCCCGUUAAAUAAACAUGAUAUCUUUC